rfam:Rattus norvegicus chromosome 18, whole genome shotgun sequence.
GGGGAUUUAGCUCAGUGGUAGAGCGCUUGCCUAGGGAGCGCAAGGCCCUGGGUUCGGUCCCCAGCUCCA